rnacentral:rRNA from 1 species
UACGUAGGCAGCAAGCGUUGUUCGGAAUUACUGGGCGUAAAGAGCGUGUAGGCGGCCGCUUAAGUCCUGCGUGAAAUCUCGGAGCUCAACUCCGAGCGGUCGUGGGAAACUGGGCGGCUAGAGUCCGGAAGAGGAGAGUGGAAUUCCUGGUGUAGCGGUGAAAUGCGCAGAUAUUGCUCGGAAGGCCGGAGCCGAAGGGGCCCCACUGGUACGUAACUGACGCUGAGGCACGAAAGCGUGGGGAGCAAACAGGG